UACGAAGGGUGCAAACGUUGCUCGGAAUUAUUGGGCGUAAAGCGCACGUAGGCGGCUUGGCAAGUCGGAUGUGAAAUCCCUCGGCUCAACCAAGGAAGUGCAUCCGAAACUGCUGAGCUUGAGUACUUAAGAGGAUCGCGGAAUUCCCGGUGUAGAGGUGAAAUUCGUAGAUAUCGGGAGGAACACCAGUGGCGAAGGCGGCUACCUGGACCAGCACUGACACUGAGGCACGAAAGCGUGGGGAGCAAACAGG
rnacentral:rRNA from 1 species